CUCUCACAAUCCCAAAGAAUAUUAUGUUGACUUACCAUCCCUGACAUUUAUGACACAAUAGUUGUCUCAUAAUUAGCAUUUCUUUGUACCAUAAUUAUAACAUUUGCCCAAUGAACAAGAGGCCUAAAUAGAUGAGAAUGUGUUAGAUGAAAGUUCAUACCAUUUUUCAGGUUACAGGACAUUAUGGUUACGAAAGAGUUGUUGUCUCUAGGGCUAGCUAGUUAGCAUGCUAACAUUAAUUGUAAGUUGGUUCUAAUUUAUAGUUUUUUCUUCUAAAUGUUUUAAUAGGUGGAUCAAACCCAAAUGAUCCCACAUAUUACACCAUCCCCGACCUUCAACCAAUGAAAAAGGCGACCGAAACUUCUGGACCUGACGAGUCCCCGUACUCUGAGAUCUGCGAGCCUUUCAUCGGUGGAAAUAAUAAUGAAGGUAACUUUAAGCUUCAGCUCCUCUGUGAAGUUUAUAACAUGAGAUGCUAAACGAGGCCGAUUGUAUUUUUUGCCAUUCCAAAUAAAGCAAAAUAAACGAGAGAACGAACAAAGUGGAAAUCUACAAAAACUACCGAUGGGAAUUUUCCAUUCAAACGACCAUUUGAGUGUAAAAUUUGAGAUAACAGGAAUAAAAGUCUACAUCAUCAAAUAAUGAAUGAAAAGUAAUUUUUUGUGAUUGUCUCUGGAUCCACAGGUUCUUCACAGCCGACUGACAACACGUACUGUUUACUGCAGAACCCCAAAACAUCUGGAAAGCAUCCAAAGUGACCAAUCAGCUGUUUGUGAUGUCAGACAUGACUUGGGUUGAUGAUGUCAGUUGUUUUAUUUAAACUGUGAACAUGUAUAAUAUUUGACUUGUGUUUUAUGUAAAUAUUAGAUAGAUACAUUUUUUUACAAUACAACAUUUGUUAUUUUUAGAUUCUUACCUGUCAAAC
rnacentral:lncRNA from 1 species